rnacentral:rRNA from 1 species
GAGUUUGAUCUUGGCUCAGGAUGAACGCUGGCGGCGUGCCUAAUACAUGCAAGUCGAACGAACAGAUAAGGAGCUUGCUCCUUUGACGUUAGCGGCGGACGGGUGAGUAACACGUGGGUAACCUACCUAUAAGACUGGGAAUAACUCCGGGAAACCGGGGCUAAUGCCGGAUAACAUGUUGAACCGCAUGGUUCUACAGUGAAAGACGGUCUUGCUGUCACUUAUAGAUGGACCCGCGCCGUAUUAGCUAGUUGGUGGGUAACGGCCUACCAAGGCGACGAUACGUAGCCGACCUGAGAGGGUGAUCGGCCACACUGGAACUGAGACACGGUCCAGACUCCUACGGGAGGCAGCAGUAGGGAAUCUUCCGCAAUGGGCGAAAGCCUGACGGAGCAACGCCGCGUGAGUGAUGAAGGUCUUCGGAUCGUAAAGCUCUGUUGUUAGGGAAGACAAAUGUGUAAGUAACUGUGCAUAUCUUGACGGUACCUAACCAGAAAGCCACGGCUAACUACGUGCUAGCAGCCG